CAGUAGCCACGGUAAAACGUAGGUGGCAAGCGUUGUCCGGAAUUAUUGGGCGUAAAGGGCUCGCAGGCGGUUUCUUAAGUCUGAUGUGAAAGCCCCCGGCUCAACCGGGGAGGGUCAUUGGAGACUGGGAAACUUGAGUGCAGAAGGGGAGAGUGGAAUUCCACGUGUAGCGGUGAAAUGCGUAGAGAUGUGGAGGAACACCAGUGGCGAAGGCGACUCUCUGGUCUGUAACUGACGCUGAGGAGCGAAAGCGUGGGGAGCGAACAGGAUUAGAUACCCCUGUAGUCCCUGUCUCUUAUAC
rnacentral:rRNA from 1 species